AACUGUUCGUGAUAAGAUGUCGGU
rnacentral:miRNA from 1 species